rnacentral:rRNA from 1 species
AUUGAACGCUGGCGGCAGGCCUAACACAUGCAAGUCGAACGAGUGGCGGACGGGUGAGUAAUGUCUGGGAAACUGCCCGAUGGAGGGGGAUAACUACUGGAAACGGUAUCUAAUACCGCAUACCAUCGGAUGUGCCCAGAUGGGAUUAGCGAGUGGGUGGGGUAAGGGCUCACCUAGGCGACGAUCCCUAGCUGGUCUGAGAGGAUGACCAGCCACACUGGAACUGAGACACGGUCCAGACUCCUACGGGAGGCAGCAGUGGGGAAUAUUGCACAAGGGGCGCAAGCCUGAUGCAGCCAUGCCGCGUGUAUGAAGAAGGCCUUCGGGUUGUAAAGUACUUUCAGCGGGGAGGCGUUACCCGCAGAAGAAGCACCGGCUAACUCCGUGCCAGCCGCCGCGGUAAUUC